GCCUGGCGUGCUGCGAUUCAUGGGGUCGCAAAAAGUCGAACACGACUGAGCAACUGGACUGACUGACUGAGCCUCAAAAAUCGUGGAGCAUCACUUGUGUCAUAUUCCUUUAGCUGAAAGUGAGUCACAGGGCUGGCCAGGGUUUAAAGGGGGCUUCUGCACUGGAGCAUGGGCGCUGAAAUUCAGCCAGAGACUCAUCACCCAUUCCUUGAAUAGGGUCCAGUCCAUAUAUCUUCCCUAGGCCUAAUUCUGUACCAGUCAGUGAUCAAUAAGGGAAAUGGAACCACAAUGAGGGGUUAUAGGACUAGGGGAUUUAUUGUAGGGAACAGACAUUAUGUAGUUCUGGCAGCUGGUGAAUAAAUUUUGACGAGGCUGCCACCUCUCUGUCUGGUGGUGGUCUGAAGUUGUGGUCAGCUGUUAUAAAGAAAAGCUGGACCCAAAGCAGAGGAGAAUGAAAGGUUUGAACAUGAGAGGAUGGACAUACCAGACCCAUGAGGACAACUUCUGUCUCUCAUUUCCUCCAACCUUGACAAUGCUUCUUCUUUCUAGAAGAAGCAGUGAGUCAGACUGAGGAGAAGGAGAGACAGGAGGAGGUGGUGGAGCUGAGUGUCCUGUCUCUGCCCCUCCCCAGCAAGAUGAGACAGCAGAUUAGUGACGGUGUUCACAACCUCCAGGGACACCUGGUGCCCACUCGACCUUCAGAGCUUCCCAUCUGCAGCUUUUCCUCAGCCCUUCAGAUCUCACGCACAGUUCUCUCUUGGCCAUGUCUAAACCAGAAACACACAGUCAAGGGAUUCUGGGAAAUGUGAUUCUAACUGUUUUGUUGACAUUAGUACAGACCUCCGUAAAGUUCUGUGCCGUGUGCUCAGUGGUGUCUGACUCUUUGAGACCCGUGGACUGUAGCCCACCAGGCUCCUCUGUCUAUGGGAUUCUCCGGCCAAGAAUACUGGAGUGGGUUGCCGUUUCCUUAUCCAGGGGAUCUUCCUGACCCAGGGAUCGAACCCGGGUCCCCUGUGUCCCCUGCACUGGCAGACAGGUUCUUUACCACUAGCGCCCCUUGGGAAGUCCCCCGUAAAGUUCUUCCAUCCUCCAAUAAUACAAAACACUUCCUAUGCUUGCCUGUGUGAAUAUCUGCAUUUCACAGCUGGGGUGGACAUAAAUGGAUUUUGGCAAGGAAAUAAAAAAGCCUUCUGUGGAGAUAUUAUUAAUACACAGUUACCUGGGAGAGUCUCUUUCUUAUUUAGAUACUUACUGAUCUUUGAUUAUUUCUUUUUUUUUUCUUUUACAGCAACUGGUAUGACACAUUUCUGCAUAAAGUGCCUCUUCAGGGCCCCUGUGGAAUCUCGACGUUCACAUUUAGACCCAGCUGCGUUCAUAUCUGGCCAUAAUUCACACAGAAGAAAGGUGAUGAAGUUAAUAUCAUUAACACAGGUAAGAGGUAAAAUGAUAGUAGGAAAAUUUUAA
rnacentral:lncRNA from 1 species